UUCUGGUUAGCUCAUUUGGUAGAGCGCUCCAUUGAAAAUGGAGAAGCCCCAGGUUGGAUACCAGGACCAGGCG
rnacentral:tRNA from 2 species